GGGAGGGAGGAUGUGGGCUGUGCUUUGAAUACAAGUUUUUACUUUGAGGAAGGAAAUAGUCUGAAACCAAACAGUGGUGUUAGUCUCACAGCAUUAUGAGUGCACUUAAUGCUCCUUAAUUGCAGAAUUUUAAAUGGGAAAAGGCUAAACUUUAUUCUUGUAAACUUAAAACAUAUAACUAGAUGUUACUCUAAUAGAAAAGAACAAACCUGACUCCAUAUUUGAUCUGUUCUUUUGUCUUUAACCCUGUACCCUGUCUUCUAGGCUCAGUCUUGCUGGCUCUGCACCUUUUGUAAAACAAUGUUGCCUUUAGCCUCUCCGGUAAAUGAAAGAGAUUGUUCUCAAGGCUCUGACCUUUAAGCAUAUUAACACUUGCACUGAUAUAAAGACAAUAAGUUGCCAAAUAGAAAAUAACUUGUUUUGUUAGAUGUUUUGCAGGGGCGGCAUGACCUGACCCACGUGGACAGCUAUAGACCAAGAAAAUGGUAGACUAUGUCCUGGAGAACCAUCUUCCCCAUGUCAGACUUCAGGUUCCUUUUCUAUUGAAAAGGGGAGGGGCUGUGGUUCGUUGCUGCAAACUUCUUGGCGUAGGAUUUCUUUGUUCUUGGAAUCCUUUGCAGCGGUCCACGUGGGUCGGAUCAUGGUAUCCCUGUAAAACCUCGAAGAAAGCAAAGGUUAUGUUCUAUCCUGCAACUUGUUAUCUUUAUAGGAGGGCAAAAGUGUUAAUAUCCUUAAAGGUCAGAGCCUUGAGACUAGGCUUUCAUGCAUAUUUCAGGCUAAAGGCAACAUUGUUUUACAAAAGGUGCAGAGCAGGCAAGAAUAAGCCUAGAUAACAGAAGACAGGUUUAAAGGAAAAGGAACAGACCUAAUAUGGAUUCAGAUCUGUUCUUUUCUAUUACAGUGCCUUUUGUUGAGAGGUAAGAGGAUGUUUUCAGGUGGGUCCUCCUCUGCCCCAGGCUGGGGUUCAGGCAGGAGUUCUUCCAGGUUCACCAUGAAUGUGGACUUGAUCUCCUGCAGAGAAAGAAACAAUUAUUGGUGAUUAAAAUUGCAGACAAAGUCCCUUCAAUUGCCUGUAAACCAUACUCAUGGCAAGGGACAUCUCAUAGGCCAGUCAACAGUCAGUCUCCCCUGAUGCAAGGGACGAGCAACAUGGCGGGUUCCACGGUGGCCUGGCCAGCGAAGCUGCCUGCUUUGUUCUCCAGCCUUGGCUUCCUAACAUGAACAUUUUAAAAGCUCCCAUCCCUCUUUCCUUUGGCCCAGUGUGAAUGAACAAGGUCCCUGCACCCACAUGGGCUUAGCCCAAUCCAUGCACACAGCCCUGUGCAUACAGCCAACUACCUGCUCUCCAUCUCUGGGCUUAGCUGCACCCUCCAAACUCCCCAAUCCCUGCAGGUCCGCAUUCCCAGUGCUUCUGCCCUAGGGGUCUGGAUCACCAUCAGGACCAUCAGCCACCCCAGGUCCACAGGCCUGUUGCGGGCAGCCAGAGAUCACCCUGACACUCAGACUCAGAUGAGGCACAGCGUGCAGGGUUCAGGACACCAGGGCGGGAAUUGUAUCUGCCUCCAGUUCGGCCCGCCUCGCCCUGUAGCCUCAGACACUAGCUAUGCAGGUGCACACUAGGCUGGAACCCUCGCUGGUGGAAGUCACCGUGAGGGCUGGAGUCCCGACUACCAAACCCCAACCACGGGGUGAGUGGUGAGAGAGUCAUCUCCAGGGAGGGGUGCACUAGGAGUGAGGGGGGAACCCGCGGUAAAGGGGGUACAGGCUGAGAGGUGACGGGCUGCUCAGAAGGAACUGACCCAGUUUAGGGGUGAGGGGGACCACUUCGGGAUGUUGGAGGUCCUGUGGUGAGGCAUGAGGGGUGAAGGUGGGGUGUAGGGGCCAUAAGUUAGGACCUAGCAGGAUGGAGUAUGUGUCAGGGACCUCGGUGUGAGGAGAAGGAGCCCCAUCUUCGGGGUCUGGUGAGAGACUGGGCCUGUCCAGGAUGGGAGGAUAGUAUCGGGAAGGGAGAGGCUAGCAAGGGGAGUGGGGCUGGGGGUGUGGCCCGGCCCAGGGCGGUCGUGGCUUUGAGUGCCAGGACCCCAUUGGUGGCGGUAUGGGGACACUGGGGAUGGAGAUCUGGGGAAUGGUGGGCAGCGGUGUGGCGGGCAGGAGGGUAAGCCCGCAGGAGGGUAGGCCCGCAGGAGAGUGGGCCUGCAGAAGGGUGGGGUCCCAGCCCACGGCCCAACCCAGGUCCUCCUGGCCCCAGGCGCCGCUUCCGGUACAGCAGGAGCCCCAGCCGAAAGUCCCCGAUGCCGGUGGGAUGGGGAGGGGCGCGCAUGCGCAAACGCACAGACGCACGGACAGCGGAACCCGCGCAGAGCGUGUGGCAGCCAGGUGGGAGCCGGGUGUUCCUGGAGCAGCUCCCUGAAAAGGAGCACGGCCUGGAGUCUGGGCCGACGCUUACAGUCUCCUCCGCUGCCGCCGCCUAGGAGGUGAAGGGGCCCUGGAUGGGGCAUGGAGCAGGUGAGUGCUGUCUGAGCUGCGCAGUUGGGGAGGCGCAUGGGUAGGGGUGCUUAGCUGAGUCCCGGGCCACGAGGCCCGUUAGGACCCUGAGGAGGUUCUGAGGCCGCCGCCUGGUUCGUGGUGCUGUCCCGUCUCCUUAGUAUUCCCUGAACCCUUCGUCUGCCCUGACUCUUAUUCCCGGGUUUGGGAAAGCGGGUGUGGCCCCGGAACAUCUCCAACCGGCCCUCAGACCAUGGCCUGCUCCCUGGAGGCUGGUGCGGUGCAGUCAGUGGGCGGCGGCUGAGAGGAGGGGUGCCUGUCCUCAGGGGGAGCAGGUGGACUUGCUGCCAUCUCCUCCAGGGCCUGUUCUCGGGGCGGCCUCUGCUGCCCCGGGUUCGGAGACACAUAUUCAUGCCAGCCGGCUCCUGGGAGGAGGGUGCAGUGCUGUCUAGGGCAGCGUCAACAGCGGGCAAGGACUUGUGGAGGACCGGGCUCUAGCCCAGGGUAACUCUCCUUUCUUCUCUUGCUUCCUCAGGUGGUGGCAGUAGCGGCUUUUCCAGUAUAGGUUAUUACCAGAUAUUGAAUGUUGCUUCUAUGUCUUGCCUGUUGUACAUAGUGGUGCUGUGAAUAUUAGGGGACAGGUCCCUUUUCGAUUUGGAGUUCCCUCCGGAUAUAUACCCAGAAGUGGGAUUGCUGAUUCAUAGGGUAAGUCUAUUUUUAGUUUUUUGAGGCAUUUCCAUGCUGUUUUCCAUAAUGGCUAUACCAGACUGCAUUUCCCAGUGACAGUGUAGGAGGCUUCCUUUUUCUCCACAACCUCUCCAGCAUUUCUCAUUCAUGAUGGCCGUUCUGACUGGUGUGAGGUUAUACUUCAUUGUAGUGUUGCUUUGCAUUUCUCUGAUAAUGAGAAGUAUUGAGCAUUUUUUCAUGUGCCCAUUGGCCUUACGUCUUCAUUGGAGAAAUGCUUGUUUAUAUCUUCUGCCCGUUUUGGGAUUGGGUUGCUUGUUUUGUGUUAUGAAUUUGUGUGAGCUGUGUGUAUACUCAGGAAAUUAGGCCUUUGUCAGUCGCAUCAUUGGCAGAUAUUUUCUCCCAUCCCGUAGGUUGCCGUUUUGUUUGCUUAAGGAUUCAUUUGCUGUGCAAAAGCCUGUAAGUUCAGUUGGGUCCCGUUUGUUUAUUUUCUGCUUUUAUUUGCAUUGCUUGAGUACACUGCCCUAGGAGAACAUUGCUGAGAAGUAUGUGAGAGAAUAGUUUGCUUAUGUUUUCUUCUAAGAGGCUUGUAGUGUCUUGUCUUAUAUUUAAGUCUUUAAGCCAUUUUGAAUUUGUUUUUGUGUGUGGUGUGGGGGAGUGUCCUAACAUCAUUGAUUUGCAUGCAGCUAUCCAGUUUUCCCUGCACCAUUUGCAGAAGAGACUGUCUUUACUGCAGUGUGUGUGCUUGCCUCCUGUGCUGAAGACUAAUUUACUGUAGGUCUGUGUUUAUUUCUCGGCUCUGUGUUCUGUUCCAUUGAUCUAUAUGUCUGGUUUCAUGCCAGUACCACAC